UACGUAGGGUGCGAGCGUUGUCCGGAAUUAUUGGGCGUAAAGGGCUCGUAGGCGGUUUGUCGCGUCGGGAGUGAAAUCCACUGGCUUAACUGGUGGCUUGCUUUCGAUACGGGCAGACUGGAGGUAUGCAGGGGAGAACGGAAUUCCUGGUGUAGCGGUGAAAUGCGCAGAUAUCAGGAGGAACACCGGUGGCGAAGGCGGUUCUCUGGGACGGUACUGACGCUGAGACGCGAAAGCUAGGGGAGCGAACAGG
rnacentral:rRNA from 1 species